rnacentral:rRNA from 1 species
UGUAGAAUAUGUAGCCUGAUCUCACCAGAUCUCAGAAGCUAAGCAAGGCCUGGCAUAGUUAUUUGGAUGGGAGACUGCUGAAAAUAUCGGUGCCACAG